rnacentral:rRNA from 1 species
UAGGUGAACCUGCGGAAGGAUCAUUAUCGAAUAAACUUGUGUAGGUUGUUGCUGACCCCCUCGGGGGUAUGUGCACAUCUGCCAUUGUUUCAUUCAUCCCUUCCACCUGUGCACUUUCUGUAGACCCAUACUGUUGCCUUUCAGGUGCUCUUGUGGCCCUGGUAUGAGGACCUGCUCUUGCUGUCCUUGGAUGGUAUGCGGUCUAUGUCUUUAUCAACCCCAAUUGUAUGACAUUGAAUGUUUGUCUGGGUUCUCUUGUAGACCCAUAAAAUCUAUACAACUUUCAACAACGGAUCUCUUGGCUCUCGCAUCGAUGAAGAACGCAGCGAAAUGCGAUAAGUAAUGUGAAUUGCAGAAUUCAGUGAAUCAUCGAAUCUUUGAACGCACCUUGCGCUCCUUGGCAUUCCGAGGAGCAUGCCUGUUUGAGUGUCAUUAAAUUCUCAAUUCCAUCCUCCUUGCAGAGGUUUGGAGUUGGAAAUGGAAGCUUGCUGGCUUCACAGUCAGCUCUUCUGAAACAUAUUAGCGGGGCCUGUGUACGCACGGCUGAAGCUCUGGUAUUGAUGAGUGUCAUAUCAAGCUGCAGACGAGCAAUGUGCCCAGCUUACAGCUGUCUCUGUUGGGACAAUUGACUUGACAAUU